rnacentral:rRNA from 1 species
GAUGAACGCUGGCGGCGUGCCUAAUACAUGCAAGUCGAGCGAACGGACGAGAAGCUUGCUUCUCUGAUGUUAGCGGCGGACGGGUGAGUAACACGUGGAUAACCUACCUAUAAGACUGGGAUAACUUCGGGAAACCGUAGCUAAUACCGGAUAAUAUUUUGAACCGCAUGGUUCAAAAGUGAAAGACGGUCUUGCUGUCACUUAUAGAUGGAUCCGCGCUGCAUUAGCUAGUUGGUAAGGUAACGGCUUACCAAGGCAACGAUGCAUAGCCGACCUGAGAGGUGGAUCGGCCACCCUGGAACUGAGACACGGUCCAGACUCCUACGGGAGGCAGCAGUAGGGAAUCUUCCGCAAUGGGCGAAAGCCUGACGGAGCAACGCCGCGUGAGUGAUGAAGGUCUUCGGAUCGUAAAACUCUGUUAUUAGGGAAGAACAUAUGUGUAAGUAACUGUGCACAUCUUGACGGUACCUAAUCAGAAAGCCACGGCUAACUACGUG